GUGUGUUUAUAUAAUGCAGUGUGUUUGUGUAGUGUGCAUUAUAUAAACACACUAUACAAACACACUGCAUUAUAUACACAGUGU